rnacentral:misc_RNA from 1 species
CAACCCUCAAGCCUGGCUUGGUGUUGGGGCUCUGCGUCUGCAGGCCCUCAAAUCCAGUGGCGGACACGCUAGGUCUCCGAGCGCAGUAGUUUCUCCUCGCUCAGGGCGUCCGGCGUGCGCUUGCCUCGCACCCAUCUUAUCAA